AGAUAGCAGCACACACGCCUUACAUAAAACAGAACCAACCCAGCUUAGCAACAUUCACAAGAGCUACACACUACCAAAUCGGAGGAGCUGCCCAUCAGAAUUGGGUAAGCAUGAAAUUGCUGUUUGCAACUCCUGGGUUGCUUACGUCACUGCAAAAGGACUAAAUAAAUUCUCUACCGAAAUGCUGUAUUCAUGUCUCAUCUUCUGCAUUACUCCAUAAGCCUCCCGUAUUUCCG